UCCGUAGGCGGGCGACUAAGUCAGAGGUGAAAUCCCACAGCUCAACUGUGGAACUGCCUUUGAUACUGGUUGUCUUGAGUUAUAGUGAAGUAGAUAGAAUAUGUAGUGUAGCGGUGAAAUGCAUAGAUAUUACAUAGAAUACCGAUUGCGAAGGCAGUCUACUAACUGUAUACUGACGCUAAUGGACGAAAGCGUGGGGAGCGAACAGGAUUAGAUACCCUGGUAGUCC
rnacentral:rRNA from 1 species